CCGCUUCAGCAGCACACAUACUAAAACUGGAAUGACACAGAGAAGACUAGCAUGGUCCUGGUAGGAGGAUGACAUGUAAACUCAUAAGUGUUCCAUAUUCUG